rnacentral:misc_RNA from 1 species
CUGAGUGAGGGCCCACGCCCGACCUCCAACCCUCUGUGAACCAAGCCUGUUGCUUCGGGGGCGACCCUGCCGACGACUUCGUCGCCGGGCGCCCCCGGAGGUCUUCUAAACACUGCAUCUUUGCGUCGGAGUUUAAAACAAAUUAAACA